GACGGGGGGGGCAAGUGUUCUUCGGAAUGACUGGGCGUAAAGGGCGCGUAGGCGGUUUGCUUAGUUAGGCGUGAAAUUCCUGGGCUCAACCUGGGGGCUGCGCUUAAUACAGGCAGACUAGAGUGUGAAAGAGGGUCGUGGAAUUUCCAGUGUAGAGGUGAAAUUCGUAGAUAUUGGAAAGAACACCGGUGGCGAAGGCGGCGACCUGGUUCAUUACUGACGCUGAGGCGCGAAAGCGUGGGGAGCAAACAGG
rnacentral:rRNA from 1 species